AUGUGUCGUAACCUGACUUCGAUCCCAUCCAAAUUCUGGUGGGGAGCAACGAAUGGUGAGGGGAAGGUGCAUUGGAUAUCUUGGGAAAAGAUGUGUGAAGAAAAAAGGGGCAGGGAACUUGGGUUUAGGGACCCGGAAGCGCUUAACCAAGUACUAUAGGCCAAGCAAGCAUGGCUUACUCAUCAGUUUCCAUUGUCUUUGUGCACGAGAGUGUUAAAGGCUCGCUAUUUUCUUGACGGCACAAUUUUGAAUGGUACUUGCCCAGCAGGAUCAUUUACUUUUAGAAGCAUUAUCCAUGGCCGGGAUUUGCUGCGAGAGGGCUCUAUUUGGCGCAUCGGGGAUGGGUUAAGUGUCAACAUUCAUCACAGUAACUGGCUCCCGAGGAGUGGGAGUCUUCGGCAACUGGGCCAAGUUUUUGUUCACGGAGUGACUGAUAACCCACAAGUAUAG
rnacentral:rRNA from 1 species